UUGGAGGGCAAGUCUGGUGCCAGCAGCCGCGGUAAUUCCAGCUCCAAUAGCGUAUAUUAAAGUUGUUGCAGUUAAAAAGCUCGUAGUUGAAUUUCGGGAUCAAUAUGUUGGUCGUGCCAUUGGUACGUACUGGUAUCAUUGAUUUCUCCUUUCUGACGAACCAUGAUGUCAUUAAUUUGGUGUUAUGGGGAGUUAGGACUGUUACUUUGAAAAAAUUAGAGUGUUUAAAGCAGGCAUUAGCUUGAAUACAUUAGCAUGGAAUAAUGAAAUAGGACGUUUGACCCUAUUUUGUUGGUUUCUAGGAUCGACGUAAUGAUUAAUAGGGAUAGUUGGGAGCAUUAGUAUUCAAUUGUCAGAGGUGAAAUUCUUGGAUUUAUUGAAGACUAACUACUGCGAAAGCAUUUGCCAAGGAUGUUUUCAUUAAUCAAGAACGAAAGUUAGGGGAUCGAAGACGAUCAGAUACCGUCGUAGUCUUAACCAUAAACUAUGCCGACUAGGGAUCGGAUGAUGUUAAUUUUUUAAUGACUCAUUCGGCGCCUUACGGGAAAC
rnacentral:rRNA from 1 species